rnacentral:lncRNA from 1 species
AGCCGGGCUGCCCGGCGUUUAACACACUCCCUCAGGGACACGCUCGAUAACUCACAGUCCGGGAAAUGCGGCUGAAUACCAAAUGAAAACAGAAGUUCCCUUUGUUUUAUUAACUGUUGUUAUUAUCAGCACUUCCAGAUACCCCAUAUUCCCCUGACAAAUCGGCGGCCAUGUCGUUAUUUAGGUGGAGGGGAACGGGAGAAAAACGUUCGACUGCCACUGCGGCUCUGUAACAGUUCAUUUUCUCUGUAAUGGAUCUGGGCUUUUUUUUUUUUUACUAAAGGAGGGCUGCGUGUCGGAGGCUGGAGACAAAACACUGAGGAGGUGGAGACUCUGCUGGAUCCAGCUGAAGGGGCUACAGGGGCGGUGGCAGCCAUUAGAUUUGGCAGCCCCGACAUCACUCCGGCCUUGGAUGUAAAGGAGUACUACUGCCAGCUGGCCGAGGGCCUCCAGGUACCGCACACACACACACACACACACACACACACACACACACACACACACACACACACACACACACACUGUGUAACAUAAAACACAUCAACAUGUCAUGUCGCCUCCUUGUGCCAAAGGUUUUACUGAAGCAUUCUUGUGUUCAUCUUUAGACUCACGCUCCUAUUUCUGCACAUGAACGACCUCAAACAAACCUCACACACACCAGGACAUUUAC